AUUGAACGCUGGCGGCAGGCCUAACACAUGCAAGUCGAGCGGAUGAAGGGAGCUUGCUCCUGGAUUCAGCGGCGGACGGGUGAGUAAUGCCUAGGAAUCUGCCUGGUAGUGGGGGAUAACGUCCGGAAACGGGCGCUAAUACCGCAUACGUCCUGAGGGAGAAAGUGGGGGAUCUUCGGACCUCACGCUAUCAGAUGAGCCUAGGUCGGAUUAGCUAGUUGGUGGGGUAAAGGCCUACCAAGGCGACGAUCCGUAACUGGUCUGAGAGGAUGAUCAGUCACACUGGAACUGAGACACGGUCCAGAAUCCUACGGGAGGCAGCAGUGGGGAAUAUUGGACAAUGGGCGAAAGCCUGAUCCAGCCAUGCCGCGUGUGUGAAGAAGGUCUUCGGAUUGUAAAGCACUUUAAGUUGGGAGGAAGGGCAGUAAGUUAAUACCUUGCUGUUUUGACGUUACCAACAGAAUAAGCACCGGCUAACUUCGUGC
rnacentral:rRNA from 1 species